AGCGAACGCUGGCGGCAGGCCUAACACAUGCAAGUCGAACGAACUCUUCGGAGUUAGUGGCGGACGGGUGAGUAACACGUGGGAACGUGCCUUUAGGUUCGGAAUAACUCAGGGAAACUUGUGCUAAUACCGAAUGUGCCCUUCGGGGGAAAGAUUUAUCGCCUUUAGAGCGGCCCGCGUCUGAUUAGCUAGCUGGUAGUGUAAUGGACUACCAAGGCUACGAUCAGUAGCUGGUCUGAGAGGAUGAUCAGCCACAUUGGGACUGAGACACGGCCCAAACUCCUACGGGAGGCAGCAGUGGGGAAUCUUGCGCAAUGGGCGAAAGCCUGACGCAGCCAUGCCGCGUGAAUGAUGAAGGUCUUAGGAUUGUAAAAUUCUUUCACCGGGGACGGUAAUGACGGUACCCGGAGAAGAAGCCCCGGCUAACUUCGUGCCAGCAGCCGCCGCCGUAA
rnacentral:rRNA from 1 species